GACGAACGCUGGCGGCGUGCUUAACACAUGCAAGUCGAGCGGAAAGGCCACUUCGGUGGUACUCGAGCGGCGAACGGGUGAGUAACACGUGAGUAAUCUGCCCUUGGCUUUGGGAUAGCCACCGGAAACGGUGAUUAAUACCGGAUACGACCACUUCUCGCGUGGGAUGGUGGUGGAAAGUUUUUCGGCCAGGGAUGUGCUCGCGGCCUAUCAGCUUGAUGGUGGGGUAAUGGCUCACCAUGGCUUCGACGGGUAGCCGGCCUGAGAGGGUGACCGGUCACACUGGGACUGAGACACGGCCCAGACUCCUACGGGAGGCAGCAGUGGGGAAUAUUGGACAAUGGGCGGAAGCCUGAUCCAGCAACGCCGCGUGAGGGAUGACGGCCUUCGGGUUGUAAACCUCUUUCGGUGGGGACGAAGCGCAAGUGACGGUACCCACUAAAGAAGCACCGGCCAACUACGUGCCAGCAGCCGCCGUAACAC
rnacentral:rRNA from 1 species